AUACGUAGGGGGCGAGCGUUGUCCGGAAUGACUGGGCGUAAAGGGCGUGUAGGCGGCCGAUUAAGUCUGGAGUGAAAGUCCUGCAUUCAAUGUGGGAAUUGCUUUGGAUACUGCAGUGCUAGAGUGCGGAAGAGGUAAGUGGAAUUCCCAGUGUAGCGGUGAAAUGCGUAGAGAUUGGGAGGAACACCAGUGGCGAAGGCGACUUACUGGGCCGUAACUGACGCUGAGGCGCGAAAGCGUGGGGAGCGAACAGGAUUAGAUACCCUGGUAGUCCACGCGGUAAACGAUGAAUGCUAGGUGUUGCGGGUAUCGACCCCUGCAGUGCCGGAGUAAACACAAUAAGCAUUCCGCCUGGGGAGUACGGCCGCAAGGUUGAAACUCAAAUGAAUUGACGGGG
rnacentral:rRNA from 1 species